UACAUAGGGUGCAAGCGUUGUCCGGAAUUAUUGGGCGUAAAGAGCUCGUAGGUGGUUUGAUACGUCGGGUGUGAAAUUCAGGGGCUCAACCCCUGACCUGCAUUCGAUACGGUCAAGCUAGAGUUUGGUAGGGGAGACUGGAAUUCCUGGUGUAGCGGUGGAAUGCGCAGAUAUCAGGAGGAACACCGAUGGCGAAGGCAGGUCUCUGGGCCAAUACUGACACUGAGGAGCGAAAGCGUGGGGAGCGAACAGGAUUAGAUACCCUGGUAGUCCACGCCGUAAACGGUGGGCGCUAGUUGUGCGAACCUUCCACGGUUUGUGCGACGCAGCUAACGCAUUAAGCGCCCCGCCUGGGGAGUACGAUCGCAAGAUUAAAACUCAAAGGAAUUGACGGGGCCCCGCACAAGCAGCGGAGCAUGCGGCUUAAUUCGACGCAACGCGAAGAACCUUACCAAGGCUUGACAUAUACAGGAAUACGGCAGAGAUGUCGUAGCGGUUAAACGUCUGUAUACAGGUGGUGCAUGGUUGUCGUCAGCUCGUGUCGUGAGAUGUUGGGUUAAGUCCCGCAACGAGCGCAACCCUCGUUCUGUGUUGCCAGCAUUUAGUUGGGGACUCACAGGAGACUGCCGGGGUUAACUCGGAGGAAGGUGGGGAUGACGUCAAAUCAUCAUGCCCCUUAUGUCUUGGGCUGCACGCAUGCUACAAUGGCUGGUACAAAGGGCUGCAAUACUGCAAAGUGGAGCGAAUCCCAAAAAGCCAGUCUCAGUUCGGAUUGGGGUCUGCAACUCGACCCCAUGAAGUCGGAGUUGCUAGUAAUCGUAGAUCAGCAACGCUACGGUGAAUACGUUCCCGGGGCU
rnacentral:rRNA from 1 species